GUCCCGGUAGCUCAGCUGGAUAGAGCAGAUCCGUCCUAAGGAUAAGGCCGGGGGUUCAAAUCCCUCCCGGGACACCA
rnacentral:tRNA from 5 species